ACCUUCCCUUGUAAGAACAGAGGAUUCAGUAGAUGAUGACAUCAUGUUUGCACGGGGCCUCUUUGAUCGUGAAACUGGAAGUGGAUUCAGAGAAGGAGGUGUCAAAGCAACUUCUAUGUUCCAGGGGGAAACACACUCUGGACGAGGAACAGAAGAGGUUUCAUCCCACCGAACCUAAAGGAAACAAACAAAAAAGGAUUUUUAGUAUCAAAUGCACAGCCACACCUUUCCAAUACAUUAUAUAUGCUACUACCUUGAGGCAUCUCCAUUUUGAUCCAGGCCACCUCAUGGGAUCUGCAUCUUCAGUUCCAAUAACAGUACCAGUGAACCUGGUCCAAUUAAUUAAAUCAUGAACAAUAGAAAUGAGGGAGUUCUAUUUCCUUACAAUUCCAAACAGCGGUAAGCAAGUUUCAAUGAAAAACAGUACCUCUGUUCUGGAGCUUCUUCACCUUCAAACUUCAUUUUGAAUCUCAUUCCAAUAGAAUAGUGAUUCUUGACAGCCUCCAUGUAUUGAUCAAAUGGAAUAAUAAACUCAGCAGGACUAGUCCUACAAGUUAUAGCACAACACUUAAAAAAUGCUUAGAUUAAGAAUAAUGUAUACCUAGAAUCUAGAUUUAAAAAAAAAAACCACUCUUAAAACUCUAAACCUUUUUAAGAAUAUUUUAUCAUGAACAAGAAUGGCAAGAUUAGAUUUAGUUGCGGAACACAGCAUCAGGUUCCUGGUAUGCCACUUACCCUGGAAUGCCAUACAACUAGAACAGUACUUGAUUGGAAAGCAACAAGCUAAUUUCAAAUGCACGAUUGGUUUUAGCAUGUUGAUAAAGCAUUCCCCAAUAAGGAACCAUCUAUUUGAUUAGGCUUCAAUUAAUGAUCUUUUUAAAAAAAAAAUCUUAAAAUUAGAAUGAAAAAGGGAUGAUAAAAUUUGUUAUGGGUCAUAAGGGGUAGUUUUGAGAAGUUGCAUGAUAUAACAUUUCAAUUGAAACAUGAUGUAAUCUGGAUAGCGAAGAAUUUGUGAUAUUCUGGUAUUCCAGGAUCAGAUCCCACCCAUUGACAUUUUAUUCCAGCAAUUUUAUAGUUGCUGCAUCAGUUAACUAAAAAUCGUCCAGGUAAGAUGAACAUAGCAGGGAGACCAGGAAACGUUUUCAUUUGUUGGAUCAGAUGAAUGCCACGGUAGGCCAUCCAUCUUUCUAGACCUCAUGUAUCCUUUUUCUAACAUCAUUAGAACAAUAUGAUAGAUGGCAGAUAUAUAAAACACCUCCAAAACUCAGUUCUCCGAAGUCUAUUCACAUUUGUGGCUUGUUAUCUUAAUACAGUCUACACAUUAGCCAAACUUGUAGGAGUGUCUUUCUACAAGCAAUUGGCUUGUAGAACGUGUUAGGGUAUACCCAUGUGAUGGAGAGUUGGAUUGUAUCAAUUGCUCUUAUAUAAGUGAAGCUAAUGAUACAAAAUUUUCAUUAAGAAUUUAACUAAAUGAAGAAACAAGUGAACAUAAAUCAUAAGCACAGACCUUGGUUUGUAAUAGACGGUGAAUAUUGUACCCGUAGAGACUGCAUGCCAAGCUGUAGCAAGAACACCAAGAUGCAUACUGUGACUAGAUAUGACUGAAGAUGGGCCAUUGCUUAGUUGCCUCAUAGCACGCCUUACCCCUACACGAAGUUCCCCAUUUUCACCUCUACAAGUCAAAAUUUAGGACUGAUCAGACAUGACUGAAAAACCGUUGCAUUGUCUCCCAAAUAACUAGCAGGUCCCUCAUUUUGGUUACCACAUGUAGCAGGAAGGUAAUAUCAUUUCCCAUUUUUAAGAAGAAAUGCAAAUAGCAGGACUAUGAACUGCUACAUGAUAUGACCAAUACAAGGGUAACCCCCCCUAGGAUUAACAAUCAUUGAUACUGAACGAGUAUGAAGAUAACAGUACACCUGAGGAAAAUAAAAGCAUCCCCUGCAACAAGCUUUUUGGAACUGACAAAAAGACUCCAACCACUUUGAAGAAGGUGCCUCCUUGGUUGACCUGGCAUUUAGAAACCAUAAAUGGUCUAUAAAUAUGAGUAGGAGAGCACAGUGAAAGAUCACUGUCCAGUUAACAGAGUUAACAAUCAUGGUCUAUAAAUAUGAGUAGGAGAGCACAGUGAAAGAUCACUGUCCAGUUAAUGGAGUUAACAAUCAUGGGUAGUGGCAACUGUUAAUGUCACCAAAUGAGUUUGUAAUUUGGGUAAAGAAUGUAUCCUUGGUUAAGAAAUGGCAAGAAUGUGACAUUUUUUUUUUUGGUAGAUUAGGAUUUGAUAUUUUUACAUGGAAUAGAAGAACAUGUUGCAGGUUAGAAUGCAGUCUUCUUAACUCAAUCGGCUAUCAUUUGCCGCCCAAAACAUGAUGGAUUUCAAUUAGUUGUGCAACAGCUAAGCAAACCAAAAUCUCAAGAAUUUUAAAUAACCGAUAGAAGUCGAGAGCUCCAAAGAAGGAGAGCAAUCUCCAAGCAAAAACAAUGGCAAUGUCAGCAUGAAUUAUAGCUUCAACAUUUUAUAUGCAAAAGGCCCAUAAAAUUAAGAUCAUAGAUUUUAAAUACACAGGACAGCAUCUCAUAUUUUCAACAAAUACUACAUUAUUAUCGUUUUCAGAUAGAAGAUAAAACUUUACCAAAAACCAGAAGUCAUAUUUUCAGGUACUUGCUCAUUAGUGCUACUAAACAAUAAUUUUCACCAGUGAAGUUCAUUAUAACUAGGGGAUAUCUGAACAUUCUCUAGAAGUCAUGGGCUUGCAAAAGUUCCAUCAGCAGUAAAAUCAUGAUAAGAUUAAGUCAAGUGAAUAGACUAAUACAAUAUUCAGUUAACAAUAUUAUGUGAUGAUAAUCUAUGCAUGUACAUAAACAAGAUUUGGAUGGUCCAUCCUAAUCUCAAACAAUUAUAAAUACCAAAAUCUGAAACAGCCAUUACCUUGAAAACUCCUAAUCUCAAACAAUUAUAAAUACCAAAAUCUGGAACAGUCAUUACCUCGAAAAAUGUGGCGGAAUCGCCACUCAUUUCCAUGCAAAUCCUUGGCUACCAACUCCUGGGUCGGAGGUUGCUUGGACAUGUCCUGUCAAAUAACCAACAUAAGGUCUAUUUCAGAAUUUGAUUGGAAGUAAAAAUAAAACAAAUAAUAUCAGACAAGGAAGGAAAACAAACCAGUGGAGGUAGGCACUCAUCAGCAUGCCUCCUCAACACUGAGAAGCCACCAUGAGUGCUUGUAUCUGAGGCAGUAAGGGUCUUACAGAAGGAGUGUACACGAGGUCGAGGAGUGGGAGUAAGCACAUCCUCUUUCUCCGCGGAGUUUUCAUCUUGCUGGCAUGGAACCAGAAUUACAUCAUUAGGAUUUGAACUUGGCCUAAGAAUCCAAUAAUGGUAAUGGUCCCAAAUAGGCAUAAGCAAUAAUUAGACUUGAAUUUUUCUAAAAUUGCACUUAUGUCAUUUUAUUUAUUCGCAGAAGUAAUCUGGAGAACUGCUUGGCAUUUUUCAUCCAAUAAUAUUCUAAUCCAAAAUAGGAGGCAAACCUUAGGUUCGGGAAGCAAAGUCACUUGAGCAAACACUUCGUCAGUGUCCGAUUCAGCCUACAACAAAGAAAUUGCUGUCAUCAUUACCUCUAACACUCCCUAAAAAACCUAACUCAAAUUAUCAAAUCAAUAGAAGCCGUGGCACAUAUCAUAAAUGUUAAAAUAAAACCCUAGAAUCUCAAGCCUUAUGACAAAUACGAUUUAUGGUACCUUCAAAUGAACAUUAAUCACACGGCAAAGGAUUUUCGCUCUAAGAUCAUAAGCCGGCAUCUGUUGGUCAGCCACCUGAUUAGUUGACGCCUCCACCUUGAUUAUAAGACAAGAACAGAAUUAAACCAAACUGAACCUAAAGAAAAGGAAAAACAAAACUUAAAAGACAAAAGUAAAACGGAUAACAGAAUUGAAAUGCAUAAACCCUCUAAAACCAAUCAAACCAAAAUCCGGAGCAUGUUCGGAAGAAAGAAAACAAAAAAUCACAAAAGCAAAAUAAUGAUAAUAAUAACAAUCAUAAAUCGAACUUCGGUCAAGAGAAAAAAUAACACAAACUGAAAGAAGUAAAACCUGCUCCAGAUGACCCUGAGGAAAGUAGAAAACUCGCUCCCCUACGCGAGGCACCGUCACAAGAGGCCCAGCACAAGCAUGCCAGAGCUCCUUGUAGAGAGCAUCUUCAGAGUCAACAAAAUCCAUUAUCUAAAGAAAUAUUUAUAAAUUCUAAACAGAAGAAAGAAUUCGAGAACCAAAGGAGAGAUAUCAGGACCAGAUUCCUCCAACUACUCCAGAAUCUCAACUCUCCACCGACAAAUCCAGCCAAAUUCCCUCAAGAUCGACCCCCAAACCCCGCCGCAAAACCAGAACCACCGGAACCGGAGCCGACCUCCGCAGAAUCCAUUUCUCAAAAACGUCUCUCCCCCUCACCGAUCCACUACAGUCCUUCAGACACUCAACACAAGCCACGGACCCAAGCUCCCAACCACAACUCAGAAAAACCAAAUUCCAUCAAGAUCGAACUCCUCCAGGACCGCCAUUUCCAGAAACUUCAAACAAUCCUUUCCUCAUCGAUUACAGCUAUCACAACACUCCUAACAGUCAAAAGAGCAAAUCGCGAACCCUAAUUCCCCAAAAAAAAAUCGCAGGAGAAGCGAUUGAUAGAGAGAAAAAAGCCCUAGCUGAUGAUCAUAUUGGAGAGAGAGUGAGGGAAUCUGGAAGCGAGGAGUAGGAGCAGACGCGGAGGUUGAAGAAGAAGAACAACAACCAAUUGUUGGAGGAUGAUCUCUUUAUCGUCGUCAUCUCCUUCGUUUUUCUCUGAAUCGCUUUCUCUCUCCUCUGCAACACUCAGAACUGCCAUUACUAUCGUACGCCGUGGUGUGG
rnacentral:lncRNA from 1 species